rnacentral:rRNA from 1 species
UACGUAGGUGACGAGCGUUGUCCGGAUUUACUGGGCGUAAAGAGCGCGCAGGCGGUCGUUCAAGUCGAGUGUGAAAGCCCCCGGCUCAACUGGGGAGGGUCACUCGAUACUGAUCGACUCGAAGGCAGGAGAGGGAAGUGGAAUUCCCGGUGUAGUGGUGAAAUGCGUAGAUAUCGGGAGGAACACCAAUUGCGAAGGCAGCUCGCUGGGACGUAACUGACGCUGAGACGCGAAAGCGUGGGGAGCAAACAGG